UGCAAGCCACUACCGUGUCUCCUCACAAUAACAGAUACAAUCACUAAUAAUAAAAUUAAUGAUUGAUCGUAUACAACCACUUUCAGAAAACGCGUUAUCAGCGCCAUGAUGUCAGAAAGUACAUGCACCCUUUCUGAUUAUCGACUUAAAAAAUCCCUAUAACACCAUUGGUUUGUUCGCGUCGCCAUGCCCCGAUAUGCUCCUACUCACUCCAAAGCACUCUAAUAGGUUAGCGUCAUCGGAAUCAACGUAUUGGAGUGCGUUGGGGUGAACAUAUAUCAUCUAAAAGUCACGUGAGUCGCAAGUGGCUCGCUCGCGCCAACUCGCUCAUGCCACGCACCUGCUUGCUCGCGCCACGCGCCAGCUCACGUCAAGUAGGGAUGCGCGAUACAUUAAAAAAUAUCGAUACUUGGUAUUGAUACGUAUUGAAUGUUUUUGUAUCGAUAUAUCCAAUACAUCAGCCUUAAAGUAUCGAUAUUUGCCAAUAUCGAUCCGAUAUCGUUAGACAUUGCUCUAGUUUACACCAGCCUAGUUUACACAGAGUACUUGAUACGCGUACCAAGCACCAUAUUCGUACUAAAUCGCUUAAUGCGCACGGUGUAAACGUUCAUGGACUAUUUUAGUACGCUCUGGUCUGGUAUUCCUGAAAUACGAAUAUCAGACCAAGUUGGUACGCGUAUCAAAAGAUUUUAGCACGCUGUAAACACUUGGUCCGUUUGGUUCGUUUGAUCGUAUAUGGACUGCGUUCCGAAAUUCACUGCCAGUACUGAAAAUCUAUAGUUUACGUUAUAUAUACUGUAGAUUUUCAGUACUAACAGUAAAUAUCUCGGAAUGCAGCCAUGGUGUAAACAGAGAUGUACCAAGCGUUUAAUCCGUACCAACUUGGUACGGGUACCAACCGAUUUAACGGUGUAAACUAGAGCAUUGACACAACAUUUGUCAAUUCUUGUAUUGGUUACAGCGUAAAUCCGAGCAGCACAUUGGUUAGUCAAUAAUUGACCAAUAGUGCACGAAUGUUAGAAUCCAUGAAUUAUGCUCUAGGGUUAAUGCAUCUACUGUCUUUUGAUCCGUGAUCUUCCACUAAAAGAAAACGUGGACGACGCCAACGACGAAGUCAUUAUGGCCGAAGAUAAAAAAAGAAUAGCAGCCCUGGAAGCCCAGGUUAAACAUUUGUUGCAGUAUAUUGCUGCAGCAAAUGUGGCCGGGCCAACAGGGCCGCACGAUACAGUAAAUGGAGCGGGGCCGAGUGAACCGGUGGCGAGCGGGUCGGAGCCGAGCGAGCCGGGGGUGAGCGAGCCGGGGAAAAGCGAGCCGGGGAAAAGCGAGCCGGAAGCGGGCCAAUCGGUGGCGAGCGAACUACAAGAAGUACCUGCGACCAACAUUCCCCGACGAUGGCAAAAAAGCCGACACAGCCGGGGGCACAGACGAGGAAAUGCAUGGCGUGGACGAGGCGGGCGAGGCGGGCGAGGCGCCCGUGGCGGAGGGACAUAUUUUCAUAAUUACAAUUUUUUUUUUUAAAUUAAAUAAUGUCUAUAUUAUAUGUGUUAUUAAAACAU
rnacentral:misc_RNA from 1 species